GGAGGGGUGGCCGAGCGGCUGAAGGCAGCGGUUUGCUAAACCGUCCACGGGGGAAACCCCGUGCCCGGGUUCGAAUCCCGGUCCCUCCGCCA
rnacentral:tRNA from 1 species